rnacentral:rRNA from 2 species
CCUACGGGGGGCUGCAGUGGGGAAUAUUGCACAAUGGGGGAAACCCUGAUGCAGCGACGCCGCGUGAAGGACGAAGGUUUUCGGAUCGUAAACUUCUAUCAGCAGGGAGGAAGAAAUGACAGUACCUGAAUAAGCAGCCCCGGCUAACUACGUGCCAGCAGCCGCGGUAAUACGUAGGGGGCAAGCGUUAUCCGGAAUCACUGGGUGUAAAGGGUGCGUAGGCGGUAAUGCAAGUCAGAUGUGAAACCCCUUGGCUCAACCAAGGGCUUGCAUUUGAAACUGUGUUACUAGAGUGCAGGAGAGGAAAGCGGAAUUCCUAGUGUAGCGGUGAAAUGCGUAGAUAUUAGGAAGAACACCAGUGGCGAAGGCGGCUUUCUGGACUGUAACAGACGCUGAGGCACGAAAGCGUGGGUAGCGAACAGGCUUAGAUACCCCGGUAGUC